AACGAACGAGACUCUAACCUGCUAAAUAGUACACCGGUAAAUCGUGUUCGUACGGGAUGCACUGUUGGUCUGUAGGAUGUUGUCAGUGUAUGGCUUUGCAUAAAAAUGUAUUGUCAGCAUUGAUAAUGUCUAUACAGUCUGGCAAGGCUCUUUGACAAACACUAUGCAGGUGAAACUUCUUAGAGGGACAAGUUGACUUUAAAACAGCACGAAAUUGAGCAAUAACAGGUCUGUGAUGCCCUUAGAUGUCCGGGGCCGCACGCGCGCUACAAUGACAGUACCAGUGUGUAUGAUGACCUUGCCUGAAAAGGUUGGGCAAACCGGUCCAUUACUGUCGUGACAGGGAUCGGGGUUUGUAAUUAUCCCCCGUGAACGAGGAAUUCCCAGUAAGUGCAAGUCAUAAGCUUGUGCUGAUUACGUCCCUGCCCUUUGUACACACCGCCCGUCGCUACUACCGAUUGAAUGGUUUGGCAAGGCCUCAGAUUGGUGCCAUUGUAGUGGUUCGUCUUCACAAUCUUGUGAUACAACUACUCGACAGGCACUGAGAAGAGGACCAAACUUGAUCAUUUAGAGGAAGUAAAAGUCGUAACAAGGUUUCCGUAGUGAACCUGCGGAAGGAUCAUUA
rnacentral:rRNA from 1 species